GCCUCACAAGAUGUUGGUGUCGGUGGUUCAGAGUCCCUGCUUGUUUAGAGAUCUUGGCAAACUCUCUCCCAAUCACCAAACAUAUGGCUUGGAAGUGUUUCACAAUAUUGUGAAUCACUUUGCUUCCAAAAGCAAUCACUACUUCUAUCCAUCAAUGCUUGCAAGAUUGUACCUUGCAGCCUUACACUAUAAUGAAAAUAAUAAAAAAAAGAGCAGAGACAAAAGAUGGGCAGCAGAAAUGGCAAAUUUCCUAUCCCAAGGCCAAGAAUGGAAAAUAAGUGGUUGUAAAACCAUGCAAGACUCGACCAACAUAUGGCUAUGUGGCUCUCUUGAUCGAUGCUUGCAUAGACAGGCGAAUGGAUCUGCCAAACUACACCACUGCCAUCGUUGAUGGAAGGGAAAGUUUUGGACAGAUUCCUCCACCUCUUACAGACUCCUACCAGCAUGUGAACAAGAGUAAAUUAAUUGAAAGACAUAGGUCAAGGUUCAUUGCCCGAAAUGGUGCGAGCCCAGGGAUCUCUGAUGCCACGUGUUCACCUAUGGCCUGACAUACCUAAAACCACAGUACUCCUCCGAUGGAAAUGUUGCCCGUAUCUUGACAACAGCACAUGCAGGGAUCACCAUUCGAUUCCUUUUCCCAAGGCGAUGCCAUAUCCACCGAGUAAAUCGUCUGUAGGCAAUGUAUCUGUACAGUCCGAGGACGAUAAAAUGCACAACUAUUACACACUGAUUUUAUGUGUUCUAAAAGACAAUGUGUUACAAAAGACAAUAACUUGACAGCAGUUGUGGUAUUGAGAAGACAAUUUGUAAAUGCCAUACGAUAUAUAUAUAUGUACAAAACAAUAGAGUUAGCAGUUGGCUGCUGAAUGAGUACUUUGAGUUUGAUAUUUUUGUGUUGAAUUGACUUGUAUGACCCUACUUACUCAUUAAUUGGCUCAUUGUCAUCAAUAGGCCCAUCAUGCUCGACAAACUCAAAAAGUGAGACUUCCAAGACAUCUCUAUUUAGGCAGUUUGCAAUGAAACCCUCAUGAUUUGUGAUACACAUGAUUCCUUUUUUAAGUCAAUUUCCUGGCAACACAGGCAUUCUGUCUCUGUUGUCAUGGCUGUGCAGCAUUCACAAUCACACCUGGAAUUCAAAGUACUAGAUCUAUAUAUGAUUUGUAUAUAAUUUGAAUUUUAUAUUACAUAUGCUGACAACAUAAUAUGCGCAAUAUGCCUAACCUGAUGUUCACACAAAAUUCAAGUAAAUAAGAAACAGAUAUAUUCUGCUUUGGCCUUUAUUAACUAUAUAUAUUGAUUUAUAAUUGCAAUUCUAUCUGUCUGUUGUAAAGGUUCAAUUUUUGAUUGCCUUUUGGGUAUUUUCCACAUAGAAUUAGAGGAAGACCUGUGUCUUGUAACAGGAAAUACACAGAUUUUGUUUUGGUCUUAGCCACAAUAAUCCAUCUUAUUAUUUGAUCAUUUGAAUUUAGUGUCAUCAACAAGUUUUGAGCUUUUUGUUGUCCUCAUGAUUUAGUUGGUUUUUUUUUGCAAGAAUGAUUGCAGAAAUACUUCAUAUCCAUUGUCUAAAUGCAUGUAUAAUCAAACGAGCUCUGAAACAUAAUUACAGGCUCAUAGCAGAAACGUUUGUAUAACAAUAAUUGACUGGAAAAAUUCCUACACCUUGCAGCACUCUAUAACUUCAAAAUGAUCAAUUUCAAAUCCAAGUAGACAGGAAGGGUAAAGGAAUGCAUAUAGGCUUAUCUAUUCCAACAGAGAUUGGAGAUAAGCUCACAAGUUUAUGUUUGCAAAUUUAUGAAAAAAAUUAAAAUCCUGAAAUUCUGUUCUGUUGUUGUGUAAUCAUU